GACGAACGCUGGCGGCGUGCUUAACACAUGCAAGUCGAACGGAAAGGCCCUGCUUGCAGGGUGCUCGAGUGGCGAACGGGUGAGUAACACGUGGGUGAUCUGCCCCUUACUUUGGGAUAAGCCUGGGAAACUGGGUCUAAUACUGGAUAGGACCAUGCUGUAGGUGGUGUGGUGGACAGAUUAGUUUCGGUAAGGGAUGAGCUCGCGGCCUAUCAGCUUGUUGGUGGGGUAAUGGCCUACCAAGGCGUCGACGGGUAGCCGGCCUGAGAGGGUGGACGGCCACAUUGGGACUGAGAUACGGCCCAGACUCCUACGGGAGGCAGCAGUGGGGAAUAUGGCACAAUGGGCGCAAGACUGAUGCAGCGACGCCGCGUGGGGGAGGACGGCCUCCGGGUUGUAAACUCCUUUCAGCCAUGACGAAGCCCUUGUGGUGACGGUAGUGGUAGAAGAAGCACCGGCUAACUACGUG
rnacentral:rRNA from 1 species